AUGUCAUCGCCUUGUGUGCUCAAUGUAGAGCACCGGGAGAUUGACUCAGAGGAUUCCCGCAACUGUGAGGCUCCUUUUCACAUCAAUUACUCAGGACCAAAGGUACAACUAAAGGGAGGUAGAAGACAUGGAGAGCGUACUCAAAAUGAUGCGGACCAUGGGGGCGCUGUAAGAGAUUUACCAGCAGAGCCAAGGAUAUCAAAGCAAGCUAUUCAUAAGAGCUCAAAAAAGGAUAAGGAAGCUACCGAAGCAGCAGAGAAGCUUCACCAGAACAUGAAAAAACGGCCCUGUUUGAGAGCAGGAGGAGCUGUUGAUGCAGUAAACAAGGAGAAUAUUCACAAGCGCAAGAAGGAUAGUAGUAAGAUGGAUCUUGAACAGUGCACGGAGACUAAUCAAAAGCGCAGGAAGGAUACCAGUAAGAUGGUUCUUGAACAAAGCACAGAGAAUAUUCACAAGCACAAGAAGGAUAAUAGUAAGAUGGAUCUUGAACAGUGCACGAAAUCCCCUGUUCUUCCUCAAGGAGAUGGAUGGCAUCUUCGACCUCCAAAGAAGGAGAUUAUUCAAAAGGGCAGGCAGGAUACCAGUAAGAAGGUUCUAGAACAAAGCACAGAGACUAUUCACAAUCGCAAGAAGGAUAGUAGUAAGAUGGAUCUUGAACAGUGCACGAAAUCCCCUCUUCAUCCGCAAGGAGAGCGAUGGCAUCUUCGACCUCCAAAGAAGGAGACUAUUCAAAAGGCCAGGAAGGAUACCAGUAAGAAGGUUCUAGAACAAAGCACAAUGCAGAUCUUCGUCAAGUUCAUGAAUGGCGAGACCAUCAUUCUCAAAGAGGUCGCAAGAUCAGAUACGAUCUACAACUUGAAGUCCAAGAUUGAAGACAAGGAAGGCAUCCCUGCAGGCCACCAGAGACUCAUAUUUGAGAAUGAGCAGCUGGUGGGCGGCCGCACCCUCAAGGACUACAACAUCAAGGAGAGGUCCACCCUUGACCUUGUCUUCCAAGGGAUGCAUAUCUUUGUCGAGACGCCUGGUGUGAUGACCAAGACGCUCGAGGUUGAGAGUGCAGAUACGAUAUACAGCGUGAAGGCGAAGCUGUUCGAUGAGACCGGAUAUGUCCCAGGAAUGCAGCGCAUCAUGUUUGUGGGGAGGGAGCUGGAGGAAGCCCGCACUUUGGCCGACUACGACGUCCAGAACAAUUCCACCGUUCGUCUUGCGCUGCGCCCCUGGAGGCUGAAGGACAGGAGGCACAUCUGGGUCAGGACGGCGACGGGCAGGACCAUCAUCAGAUAUUGCGCCAUGUCCUUGGAGUCCGUCGGCGAUGUCAAGGACAAGAUCUUUGUCGAGCUGGGCAUCCCCACGGAGCAGCAGUGCCUUUCCUGGGGUGAAGGCGGAGCAGCGCUGGAGAACUGGUGCACCAUGGAGGAGACGGAGCGCUACCUCGUUCUGCGGCUCUGCCUUCCUGUGUUGUCUAUUUUUUGUGAUGGUAGCGAGAGUCCAGACACGCCACUCGCCAGAGGUAGAACUAAUGUGACUGACACUUAG
rnacentral:rRNA from 1 species